GCAAUCUGACACCUGCCCUGAUAGUGUUAUCUGUUUUCCAGUACUUGCACACUGCUCAGUGCUCUUAGCUUGGCGUGAAACAUAUACAGUAGGUUUUACUUACAGGUGAGCAGUGUGAGCUGGGACAGUAAUCAUUUCUCUGCAAAUGCAAUGUUCCAACAUUUAGUUUCAUUUAAAAAUUUAUCUGCUCUCCUCGACUAGUGUUUGUACAAUUUAUAGCUUUUUCAGACUGAAGAAAUCUCAUUAGCCUAAUUUGAGUUUUAACAUGGGAAUGUCCUAUAGCCUGAUCCUCCACAUAGGCACUGGAGAGAGUUCAGCUCUGAAGUCGCCAUGUGUGAAAAACAAGGUAUGUACUACAACUAGAGACGAGCUCAUGGCUCUAUAGGUAAUUUUACUUUUCAACCUUUUUAAGAAAAUACAAUAAAAAAAUGUGGUUUCUUCAGGCAACACAACCACUGACUACUUUGUUUUUUUUAUCUGCAGAUCCCUGUGAGUAGAUGCACUGUGGACCUCACAGGCUGUGUGUAAAGAAUGACGGAAAGCCUGUCUUCGCUUCAGAGUCUAACAUCUGCUCUGUAUAGGGGAUUCUUACUACCGCACCUUCGUCAGCAGUAACACUUUGCCGUGAUUGUGGCUAGUACAUGUCCAUACUGUCUUGUUUCUUUUGCAGAUCAAUAGUCAGCAGAGGAACCUGCCCCUAGCCCUGGCCGCCGGCUCACUGCCUUUAAACCCUAGCAGCUCCAGCGUUGUCUUGGAAACAGACUUUGGCCUGAUGCUGCGGUAUGACUGGCAUCACAACCUUGAAUAGGAAGUGGCACCGGAGCUGUCUGGUUCACUGUGUGUUCUCUGUGGAAACUACAGCCACAAUGCAACUAAUGACUUUGCCACCCCUGAUGGAACUGUGGCGGCUGUGGACUUUGCGCUUCGCUGGAAAGUGGACUGCGGCGCCUCAUGUCCUGUGUGCAGGACAGGCCAAGUGAACUCUAAACCUGCAUUGGGUUCGGUUUCAGGCUGCUGCAGAGCCACGUCCAUGUUGUUCUUGAACAGGACGUCUGCAGCUGCAAGGCUGACCAAUGUGCUGCUGAUGGAGCUCCUUCUGCUGUCUGUAGGUCGAGGCAGGCCUACUCUGACAUAUGUCAGAGGCCGGGUACCUCCCAGUGCAAGGAGGGCUAUCUGCUCAGUGGCAGCCAUUGUGUCCCAGACAGCAGGUGUGGCUGCAGCCAUCAAGGUCUCUACUACCUCCCCAUGAGAUGUUCUGGAUGGACCGCCAGUGUCGGAAGCAGUGCACCUGCCAGCCUUCCUCCAAGAAUGUCACCUGUGUCCAGGCCCAGUGUCAGGAGGACAAGGUGCGCAAGAUUCUGGCUGGGCUACCAUAAGGAAGGGCUAAGGGGGUGCACAGCUCAAGCACAGCUCAAGGAUCGGCAUUACACCAUUUUUGACGGGAACAGGUGUGUCUUCCAAGGCACCUGUGCGUACCAGCUGGUGAGGCACUUCCCUAGCUCGGGAGACCUGCCUGGUUUCAGUGUGGUGACGCAGAACAUGAGGAGGACGACACCAACACUUCUUAUUCCAGAAAGGUCAAUAUUUUGGUCCAUGGUUACUCUAUUGAGAUCUCUCAUUACUAGGAUGAAGUAGUUGUGGUGAAUGGGAUUAUUUUGAGCCUUCCCUCAGUGUUGAGCCAAGGUAAAGUGAAGAGCUCUCCACGUGUAUUCAGACUGACUUUGGUGUCCUGGUCACAUAAUAAUAAUAAUAAUAAUAAUAUAUGCCAUUUAGCAGACGCUUUUAUCCAAAGCGACUUACAGUCAUGUGUGCAUACUGUCCAAGUGCCCAGGGUCGUCUCUGGCUCACUCUAUGGCCUGUGUGGGAACUUCAACGCGGACCCAGAGGACUAUCUAACAGACGACGGGGACAUCUAUGGCUGUGAGGCGCUGGAAAACUAGUAACAUUGUUGAAUGUGUGGAUGUGACGACUGUGAACAAUCCCCAAUGCCCCAUCAGGAGCAGGCUCUCUAUUUAGGCAGGGACUACUGAGGAAGUGUUCCAGAACUGCCACGGGAUGGUCAACCCCAAACGCUGCCUUUGACAACUGUCUGCGACCUCUGCUACAACAAUGACAAGCAGACUGCCCUGUGUCAGAUUCUCUCAAUUUACACCGCUGCUUGCCAGGAGGAAGGGGCAAACGUAGAUGAUGAAUAAUUUUGCAUGCCCAAUUUUGAAGUUUUUGAUUUGUUAAAAAAGUUUGAAAUAUCCAAUAAAUGUCGU